rnacentral:rRNA from 1 species
GUUGACACCUGCAGAAGAAGGAGCGCCCCACUACGUGCCAUCCCCCGCGGUGACACGUAGGCUCCGAGCGUUGUCCGGAUUUAUUGUGCGUAAAGAGCUCGUAUGCGGUUGAGUAAGUCGGGUGUGAAAACUCUGGGCUUAACCCGGACACGCCAUCCGAUACUGCUCUGACUAGAGUUCAGGAGGGGAGUGGGGAAUUCCUAGUGGAGGGGUGAAAUGCGCACAUAUUAGGAGGAACACCGGUGGCGAAGGCGCCACUCUGGACUGAAACUGACGCUGAGGAACGAAAGCAUGGGUAGCAAACAGGAUUAAAUACCCUGGUAGUCCAUGCCGUAAACGGUGGGCACUAGGUGUGGGUUCCAACUAACGGGAUCCGCGCCGUCGCUAACGCAUUAAGUGCCCCGCCUGGGGAGUACGGUCGCAAGACUAAAACUC